UUUAAGAUGAAUAAUAGGAAGAAUGUCCAAAUGUCUCCAAUUUAACACAUAGAGCUCAGUCUAUACAUUAAAAGAAAGUAGUUGACCACUAAGACAUUCUUUUUUUCCUUUUCAAGAUAUGAUUUAUACCACUUCAGAAGUUUGAGUUUAAGCUUGGGUGACUUUCAAAGCUUCUAUUUGAAAAUUAGCUUGACAUUUCAGGUUUAGAUCUAUUUCAAAAAACACCACCCUGCCAAACAGCUCACUAACAGCUCUCUGUUUCAUAGCCAUAUUGUGUUUGUCCACAUGUCAGUCGUGGAAAAGCUGUCAUUGCAUCAGCCAAUCAACUGAAAGGAAGAUUACUGUUGAAGACCACAGCGAUGUGUGACAUGAUGAUUAUUAGGCCCUGAAGCCUGCAAGGCAUGAAGAAUGCAGUCAUCUCUAAUCUGGAAUUUCACAUGAAUUUGCAUCAUAUUCAGCAUACAUUUUCAUCAGCCUUUUGCAAACACAAAAGCAAGAAAAGGAGACAACGCUUCUUUUGGUGCAUCCAUGAAAAAAAGUGUCUUCUUACAUUGCUACACGGCGGAAUCUGAGGAGAUGAGACGGCUUUCGUUCUGGCAGACCAUAUGCAUCUAUGAAUAUGCAUGAAAAUCUGUCAGCUGGUUAACAAGAAGGACAUAUAUGCAAGACAGGAAGCCAUAGGUCAGUAAAUUGAGGUAUGGAAAUUGCUAACCUCUGUCUCUAUGAGGACGUAUAUUCUAUGAAACUGUGGACUGAUUCCUAGCAGGGAACCUGUCAAUAUUUUUAGACUGGUUUAGCUGUAAUAGGACCGAUUCCUAGCAGGGAACCUGUCAAUAUUUUUUAGACUUGUUUAGCUGGAAUAGGCCACAUAUGUUUUAUAUUACCAUGUAAAAUCACAGAAGUUGAAGCUGAUGUUUAAUCUGAGACAAAAUUUUAUUUUCUUAAUUAAUGAAAUAUCCUUUACUAAACCCAUUGUGACAUAAUAUGUUGAAAAGCGGUCAUAAAUAAUCAAAAUUAUAAUCUAACAUUCUUGAAAUGUUUAACAUCUAGCAUUCAUUUUUAAUAUCUGGGGACAGGACAUCUGUUCCAAAUGUGUUUCAGAAAAAGUACUCCUUCCUUCCUUUUUUUCUUAGAGGUUCAAAUUUUAAAAUAGCACACAAAGCUUUGUAAACAUAGGUAUUGAAUCUCUUGAAAAAAUAAAUAAUUCAUUUGGUAGUACCA
ensembl:lncRNA